CCUACGGGUGGCAGCCGUGAGGAAUAUUGGUCAAUGGGCGCGAGCCUGAACCAGCCAAGUAGCGUGAAGGAUUACUGCCCUACGGGUUGUAAACUUCUUUUAUAAAGGAAUAAAGUGAGGCACGUGUGCCUUUUUGUAUGUACUUUAUGAAUAAGGAUCGGCUAACUCCUUGCCAGCAGCCCCGGUAAUACGGAGGAUCCGAUCGUUAUCCUGAUGUAUUGGGUUUAAAGGGAGCGUAGAUGGGUUGUUAAGUCAGUUGUGAAAGUUUGCGGCUCAACCGUAAAAUUGCAAUUGAUACUGGCAGCCUUGAGUACAGUUGAGGGAGGCGGAAUUCGUGGUGUAGCGGUGAAAUGCUUAGAUAUCACGAAGAACUUCGAUUGCGAAGGCAGCUUACUAAACUGCCACUGACAUUGAUGCUCGAAAGUGUGGGUAUCAAACAGGAUUAGAUACCCCAGUAGUC
rnacentral:rRNA from 1 species